rnacentral:rRNA from 1 species
AUAUUAUUAAGGGGAGGAAAAGAAACUAACUAGGAUUCCCUCAGUAACGGCGAGUGAAGCGGGAAGAGCUCAACUUGAAAAUCGGCGCUCCUUGCGGGGCCGAAUUGUAGUCUUGAGAGGCGUGGUCAGCGGAGCCUGGGCAUAAGUGCCUUGGAAUAGGACUGUCAGAGAGGGUGAGAACCCCGUAUACGGCCCGGGAUGCUCCGCGUACGAUGCGCUUUCACAGAGUCGGGUUGCUUGGGACUGCAGCUCUAAUUGGGUGGUAAAUUCCAUCUAAAGCUAAAUAUUGGUGGGAGACCGAUAGCGCACAAGUA